GACGAACGCUGGCGGCGUGCUUAACACAUGCAAGUCGAACGGAAAGGCCCUGCUUUUGUGGGGUGCUCGAGUGGCGAACGGGUGAGUAACACGUGAGUAACCUGCCCUUGACUUUGGGAUAACUUCAGGAAACUGGGGCUAAUACCGGAUAGGAGCUCCUGCUGCAUGGUGGGGGUUGGAAAGUUUCGGCGGUUGGGGAUGGACUCGCGGCUUAUCAGCUUGUUGGUGGGGUAGUGGCUUACCAAGGCUUUGACGGGUAGCCGGCCUGAGAGGGUGACCGGCCACAUUGGGACUGAGAUACGGCCCAGACUCCUACGGGAGGCAGCAGUGGGGAAUAUUGCACAAUGGGCGGAAGCCUGAUGCAGCAACGCCGCGUGCGGGAUGACGGCCUUCGGGUUGUAAACCGCUUUCGCCUGUGACGAAGCGUGAGUGACGGUAAUGGGUAAAGAAGCACCGGCUAACUACGUGCCAGCAGCCGCGGUGAUACGUAGGGUGCGAGCGUUGUCCGGAUUUAUUGGGCGUAAAGGGCUCGUAGGUGGUUGAUCGCGUCGGAAGUGUAAUCUUGGGGCUUAACCCUGAGCGUGCUUUCGAUACGGGUUGACUUGAGGAAGGUAGGGGAGAAUGGAAUUCCUGGUGGAGCGGUGGAAUGCGCAGAUAUCAGGAGGAACACCAGUGGCGAAGGCGGUUCUCUGGGCCUUUCCUGACGCUGAGGAGCGAAAGCGUGGGGAGCGAACAGGCUUAGAUACCCUGGUAGUCCACGCUGUAAACGGUGGGUACUAGGUGUGGGGUCCAUUCCACGGGUUCCGUGCCGUAGCUAACGCUUUAAGUACCCCGCCUGGGGAGUACGGCCGCAAGGCUAAAACUCAAAGGAAUUGACGGGGCCUCGCACAAGCGGCGGAGCAUGCGGAUUAAUUCGAUGCAACGCGUAGAACCUUACCUGGGUUUGACAUGGAUCGGGAGUGCUCAGAGAUGGGUGUGCCUCUUUUGGGGUCGGUUCACAGGUGGUGCAUGGCUGUCGUCAGCUCGUGUCGUGAGAUGUUGGGUUAAGUCCCGCAACGAGCGCAACCCUUGUUCACUGUUGCCAGCACGUUAUGGUGGGGACUCAGUGGAGACCGCCGGGGUCAACUCGGAGGAAGGUGGGGAUGACGUCAAGUCAUCAUGCCCCUUAUGUCCAGGGCUUCACGCAUGCUACAAUGGCUGGUACAGAGAGUGGCGAGCCUGUGAGGGUGAGCGAAUCUCGGAAAGCCGGUCUCAGUUCGGAUUGGGGUCUGCAACUCGACCUCAUGAAGUCGGAGUCGCUAGUAAUCGCAGAUCAGCAACGCUGCGGUGAAUACGUUCCCGGG
rnacentral:rRNA from 1 species